GGGUGAGUAACACGUGGAUAACCUACCUAUAAGACUGGGAUAACUUCGGGAAACAGGAGCUAAUACCGGAUAAUAUAUUGAACCGCAUGGUUCAAUAGUGAAAGACGGUUUUGCUGUCACUUAUAGAUGGAUCCGCGCCGCAUUAGCUAGUUGGUAAGGUAACGGCUUACCAAGGCAACGAUGCGUAGCCGACCUGAGAGGGUGAUCGGCCACACUGGAACUGAGACACGGUCCAG
rnacentral:rRNA from 1 species